CGGUUAAGUGAAUAAGGGCGUACGGUGAAUGCCUUGGCACUAGGAGCCGAUGAAGGACGGGACGAACACCGAUAUGCUUCGGGGAGCUGUAAGUAAGCUUUGAUCCGGAGAUUUCCGAAUGGGGGAACCCCAUCAUCUUGAUCGAUGAUGACUUUCAAGUGAAUACAUAGCUUGUUAGAGGUAGACGCAGGGAACUGAAACAUCUCAGUACCUGUAGGAAGAGAAAGAAAAAUCGAUUUCCUGAGUAGCGGCGAGCGAAACGGAAAGAGCCCAAACCAAAGAGCUUGCUCUUUGGGGUUGUAGGACUGGGACCUAUGAUUUAGGCGGGUUAGUCGAAUGGCAUGGGAAGGCCAAUCAGAGAAGGUGAGAAUCCUGUAGACGAAAACCCAACUAACAUUACCAGUAUCCUGAGUACGACGGACCACGUGAAAUUCCGUCGGAAUCCGCCGGGACCAUCCGGCAAGGCUAAAUACUACCUAGUGACCGAUAGUGAACCAGUACCGUGAGGGAAAGGUGAAAAGCACCCCGGGAGGGGAGUGAAAGAGUAUCUGAAACCGUAUGCCUACAAGCAGUCAGAGCCCGUUAAUGGGUGAUGGCGUACUUUUUGUAGAACGGACCGGCGAGUUACGAUAGCAUGCAAGGUUAAGACGAAGAGUCGGAGCCACAGCGAAAGCGAGUCUGAAGUGGGCGUUGAGUAUGUUGUCGUAGACCCGAAACCAGGUGAUCUACCCAUGUCCAGGCUGAAGGUGCGGUAAAACGCACUGGAGGGCCGAACCCACGUCUGUUGAAAAAGGCGGGGAUGAGGUGUGGGUAGCGGUGAAAUUCCAAUCGAACCUGGAGAUAGCUGGUUCUCUCCGAAAUAGCUUUAGGGCUAGCCUCGGAUGAUGAAUAUUGGAGGUAGAGCACUGUUUGUUCUAGGGGUCCAACAAGGAUUACCGAAAACUGAUAAACUCCGAAUGCCAAAUAUUUUAAUCCGGGAGUCACACUGCGAGUGAUAAGAUCCGUAGUGGAAAGGGAAACAGCCCAGACCACCAGCUAAGGUCCCAAAGUUUCAGUUAAGUGGAAAAGGAUGUGGGGUUGCACAGACAACUAGGAUGUUGGCUUAGAAGCAGCCAUCAUUCAAAGAGUGCGUAAUAGCUCACUAGUCGAGUGACCCUGCGCCGAAAAUGUACCGGGGCUAAACUGAACACCGAAGCUGUGGAUGUCUAAGGACAUGGUAGGAGAGCGUUCUAAGGACGGCGAAGCAUGAUCGUGAGGACAUGUGGAGUGCUUAGAAGUGAGAAUGCCGGUAUGAGUAGCGAAAGACGGGUGAGAAUCCCGUCCACCGAAUAACUAAGGUUUCCUGGGGAAGGCUCGUCCUCCCAGGGUUAGUCGGGACCUAAGCCGAGACCGAAAGGUGUAGGCGAUGGCCAACAGGUUGAGAUUCCUGUACUUGUCUGAUUUGUUUGAGCAAUGGAAGGACACAGGAGGCUAAGCAGAGCGCGGAGAUGGAAAAACGCGUCCAAGCAACAAGUCUGAUGUUGAGUAAAAGGCUUAACAUCCUAAGGAUGAGUUGUGACGGGGAGGGAAGUUUAGUACCGAAGCUGCUGAUGUCACACUGUCAAGAAAAGUUUCUAGUGAGAAUCAGACAACCCGUACCGCAAACCGACACAGGUAGUUGAGGAGAGAAUCCUAAGGUGAGCGAGCGAACUCUCGUUAAGGAACUCGGCAAAAUGACCCCGUAACUUCGGGAGAAGGGGUGCUGGCCGCAAGGCCAGCCGCAGUGAAUAGGCCCAAGCGACUGUUUAUCAAAAACAUAGGUCUCUGCCAAAUCGAAAGAUGACGUAUAGAGGCUGACGCCUGCCCGGUGCUGGAAGGUUAAGAGGAAGGGUUAGCGUAUGCGAAGCUCUGAAUUGAAGCCCCAGUAAACGGCGGCCGUAACUAUAACGGUCCUAAGGUAGCGAAAUUCCUUGUCAGGUAAGUUCUGACCCGCACGAAAGGCGUAACGAUUUGGGCACUGUCUCAACGAGAGACUCGGUGAAAUUGUAGUACCAGUGAAGAUGCUGGUUACCCGCGACAGGACGGAAAGACCCCAUGGAGCUUCACUGCAGGUUGAUAUUGAGUGUUUGUGUGACAUGUACAGGAUAGGUAGGAGCCAUUGAAACCGGGACGCUAGUCUCGGUGGAGGCACAAGUGGGAUACUACCCUUGUGACAUGACCACUCUAACCCGCGACCAUAGAUCUGGUCGGGAGACAGUGUCAGUCGGGCAGUUUGACUGGGGCGGUCGCCUCCUAAAGUGUAACGGAGGCGCCCAAAGGUUCCCUCAGAAUGGUUGGAAAUCAUUCGCAGAGUGUAAAGGCAGAAGGGAGCUUGACUGCGAGACCUACAAGUCGAGCAGGGACGAAAGUCGGGCUUAGUGAUCCGGUGGUUCCGCAUGGAAGGGCCAUCGCUCAACGGAUAAAAGCUACCCUGGGGAUAACAGGCUUAUCUCCCCCAAGAGUUCACAUCGACGGGGAGGUUUGGCACCUCGAUGUCGGCUCAUCGCAUCCUGGGGCUGAAGUCGGUCCCAAGGGUUGGGCUGUUCGCCCAUUAAAGCGGUACGCGAGCUGGGUUCAGAACGUCGUGAGACAGUUCGGUCCCUAUCCGUCGCGGGCGUUGGAAAUUUGAGAGGAGCUGUCCUUAGUACGAGAGGACCGGGAUGGACGCACCGCUGGUGUACCAGUUGUUCCACCAGGAGCAGAGCUGGGUAGCUAUGUGCGGCAGGGAUAAGCGCUGAAAGCAUCUAAGCGUGAAGCCCCCCUCGAGAUGAGAUUUCCCAUACUUUUAAAGUAGUAAGACCCCUGAGAGAUGAUCAGGUAGAUAGGCUGGAAGUGGAAGUAUAGCGAUAUAUGGAGCGGACCAGUACUAAUCGGUCGAGGACUUAUCCAAA
rnacentral:rRNA from 1 species